GAGAACCCACCUGUUCCCUGGGGAGACAGCAGCAGGCCGGAACUGUGGGCUGCUCCCCAAGUGCUGGUGUUAGUCUGGGAUUGAAUUGCUACACCAGGAACCCCAGAACCUGGGAAGAGGCCAGAGGAGGAAGAUGCAUGCAUGCAUGCCUGCAACUCUGCACCUCUAAGGCUGCCCUGGCUUAGACUCAAAGGAGACCAUUCUCUGUGGCCUUUGUGGCUUCAUUUUCCUGUUAAGAAGACUUGGAAUCGAACUCCUGCUGAUCCACAGCUAGUGCUCCAUUCCAGGAGUGUACGGUAAGUAUUAUAUUCAAUGGUGGCACUGAGAUCCAGCACCAAUGAUAGGAAAUAGGUAGACAGGAAAGAAGGGCCUGUGUUUGGGGUCUCAGCAGUCAAAUGGAAAUGCAAAUCAG
rnacentral:lncRNA from 1 species